rnacentral:lncRNA from 1 species
UUUUUACCUUGAAAAGGGGCUUUCGAAAUGAUGCCUUAAGGCGCAAAAAUAGUUUGAUGAGUUGAUAUUGGUUUUUUAGGUUUUUGAGAGAUAUUAUUUGACUUCGGAUUGCACUAAAGACUAUGAGUAGAGAUGAAUAUUUCAAACUAUCAAGUCAAGCAUCUUAUGUCCAAAAUACUCAUAAUGAGGGUAGGAAAACUUCAUUCUCG